GGAGGGGUGGCAGAGCCUGGCUUAAUGCACCGGUCUUGAAAACCGGCACGGCCGCGAGGUCGUCGCGGGUUCGAAUCCCGCCCCCUCCGCCA
rnacentral:tRNA from 1 species